CGGCGUGCUUAACACAUGCAAGUCGAACGGAAAGGCCCUGCUUUUGUGGGGUGCUCGAGUGGCGAACGGGUGAGUAACACGUGAGUAACCUGCCCUUGACUUUGGGAUAACUUCAGGAAACUGGGGCUAAUACCGGAUAGGAGCUCCUGCUGCAUGGUGGGGGUUGGAAAGUUUCGGCGGUUGGGGAUGGACUCGCGGCUUAUCAGCUUGUUGGUGGGGUAGUGGCUUACCAAGGCUUUGACGGGUAGCCGGCCUGAGAGGGUGACCGGCCACAUUGGGACUGAGAUACGGCCCAGACUCCUACGGGAGGCAGCAGUGGGGAAUAUUGCACAAUGGGCGGAAGCCUGAUGCAGCAACGCCGCGUGCGGGAUGACGGCCUUCGGGUUGUAAACCGCUUUCGCCUGUGACGAAGCGUGAGUGACGGUAAUGGGUAAAGAAGCACCGGCUAACUACGUGCCAGCAGCCGCGGUGAUACGUAGGGUGCGAGCGUUGUCCGGAUUUAUUGGGCGUAAAGGGCUCGUAGGUGGUUGAUCGCGUCGGAAGUGUAAUCUUGGGGCUUAACCCUGAGCGUGCUUUCGAUACGGGUUGACUUGAGGAAGGUAGGGGAGAAUGGAAUUCCUGGUGGAGCGGUGGAAUGCGCAGAUAUCAGGAGGAACACCAGUGGCGAAGGCGGUUCUCUGGGCCUUUCCUGACGCUGAGGAGCGAAAGCGUGGGGAGCGAACAGGCUUAGAUACCCUGGUAGUCCACGCUGUAAACGGUGGGUACUAGGUGUGGGGCCCAUUCCACGGGUUCCGUGCCGUAGCUAACGCUUUAAGUACCCCGCCUGGGGAGUACGGCCGCAAGGCUAAAACUCAAAGGAAUUGACGGGGCCCCGCACAAGCGGCGGAGCAUGCGGAUUAAUUCGAUGCAACGCGUAGAACCUUACCUGGGUUUGACAUGGAUCGGGAGUGCUCAGAGAUGGGUGUGCCUCUUUUGGGGUCGGUUCACAGGUGGUGCAUGGCUGUCGUCAGCUCGUGUCGUGAGAUGUUGGGUUAAGUCCCGCAACGAGCGCAACCCUUGUUCACUGUUGCCAGCACGUUAUGGUGGGGACUCAGUGGAGACCGCCGGGGUCAACUCGGAGGAAGGUGGGGAUGACGUCAAGUCAUCAUGCCCCUUAUGUCCAGGGCUUCACGCAUGCUACAAUGGCUGGUACAGAGAGUGGCGAGCCUGUGAGGGUGAGCGAAUCUCGGAAAGCCGGUCUCAGUUCGGAUUGGGGUCUGCAACUCGACCUCAUGAAGUCGGAGUCGCUAGUAAUCGCAGAUCAGCAACGCUGCGGUGAAUACGUUCCCGGGGCUUGUACACACCGCCCGUCAAGUCAUGAAAGUUGGUAACACCCGAAGCCGGUGGCCUAACCGUUGUGGGGGAGCCGUCGAAGGUGGGACUGGUGAUUAGGACUAAGUCGU
rnacentral:rRNA from 1 species